rnacentral:tRNA from 1 species
GCCUCUUUAGUGUAAUGGACAGCACAACAUGCUUCUAUCUUGUUAGUCCGGGUUCGAAUCCUGGAAGGGGCU